UACGUAGGGGGGCAAGCGUUGUCCGGAAUCAUUGGGCGUAAAGCGCGUGUAGGCGGCUUGGUAAGUCUGCUCUGAAAGCCCGGGGCUCAACCCCGGGAGGCGGGUGGAUACUGUCAAGCUCGAGUCCGGAAGAGGAGUGUGGAAUUCCUGGUGUAGCGGUGAAAUGCGCAGAUAUCAGGAAGAACACCGGUGGCGAAGGCGGCUCUCUGGGCCUUACCUGACGCUGAGGAGCGAAAGCGUGGGUAGCGAACAGG
rnacentral:rRNA from 1 species